rnacentral:rRNA from 1 species
UACGUAGGGUGCGAGCGUUAAUCGGAAUUACUGGGCGUAAAGCGUGCGCAGGCGGUUCGUUGCGUCUGAUGUGAAAGCCCCGGGCUCAACCUGGGAAUGGCAUUGGAAACUGGCGAGCUGGAGUGUGGCAGAGGGGGGUGGAAUUCCGCGUGUAGCAGUGAAAUGCGUAGAGAUGCGGAGGAACACCGAUGGCGAAGGCAGCCCCCUGGGCCAACACUGACGCUCAGGCACGAAAGCGUGGGGAGCAAACAGG